rnacentral:tRNA from 1 species
CGGGCAGUAGCGCAGUUGGUAGCGCGCUUGGUUCGGGACCAAGAGGUCGGCGGUUCAAUUCCGCCUUGCCCGA